ACUCGAUUUUUUAUGCAUGUUGCAUGAUUUUCCCGUCAGCUCAAGUUGGUGAACGUUGUGUUGUGUCAUACACUUGGAUACCAGAACAAGGUCACUUAAUCAACCAGUGAUCUGCAUAUACCAGGAUAAAAGGUCAACUUAACUUCUCCAAAACAAAUCAGCCAACCUAACUGAUCUACAAACAGCCUGUUUAUGUCUGCCACUCCUGUUCACCAACUUGUCCACCAACAUUUCCAAGUAGAGUAUUUGAGUCAAAAAUCAAACACAGCUCAGAUAAUAUGGGUGUGGUGGGUUUUGGUAGGAUUAAACCUACAGUGAUUAGUUGCACCAAGUUGUGCGGCUCAUAAUUUCCCUGUCAACCCAAGUGGGUGAACGUUGGUAGAAGAAAUUCUUCUAGAUGCACGUUCUGCUGCCGCUCAUAGAUAAACAUCAUGCAGCAUGGCUUUUCCAUAAUUUUAGAUAAUUCAAGAAGCAAGCACAAAUUCAUCAUUAUCAACAAUAUGCCGAUUACCAGUGACGAUUACCAAUUGAGAUUUCGUCGCAUUAUUCCGUUGAGCAUGCCGUCCCAUCUUAGCUGUAGUCACUACCCAUUUAUUGUUCAUUUUACAGUGGAGGCUGGUCUUCGCAUAUCAUGCACUUGCACCCGACGGCAUCGCACUGGCCUUGCUUGGGCACCUUCCUAAGGUCGAAGCAUGCCAUAUCGCAAGUGUCGUUGUUACAUGGCUUUGGUGACGGGAUAAGGGUUGCCGCACACCUGUAGUUGAAUUUGGCGCUACCGUCCAUUGACGCCUCCGUUACCACGCCUGCAGAAUCUCCAUGAAGAAAAGGGAUAGUCACAAACCCAUGGCCAUCGUUUGCUGGAUGAUAUUUUUUGAAAGAAAGGGGCUCCCCCCUGCUCCAUUUUAUUAAUGAAGCACACAGCCAGCGAUUAUCCAUUUUACAUACCCAGCCAGUGCUGGAUGAUAUUGUGAAGAAACCGUAUUACAAGAACAAGUGGGUACCUGAUGCUAGCAUGAGCAAGGCGAGGGCCAGGAGCAACACCUGGAUGUGGAUGGUCCUCAUCUUAACCAGUUGUUUGUGUUGAAGGAGGGACUUGUUGAUCGUUGCGUGAUAUAUGUGUGAGUUAUGAAGGAGGACAG
rnacentral:lncRNA from 1 species